GAAUGUCCAGACUGCCUCAGCUAUCGAAAUAUCCCGGGGGUCCACUCAUCUUUGGUGUCUACAUGGACAGUGGUGACAGAUCUUCUGUGAAUAGGGAACAGAGGUCUACAGAGGUGAUGUAUUGGCCAUGUUCCUACAUCUCAUCGAUUACAGAGAUACUGCGCUCACAAUGCAUCCUAACAGACACCUAG
rnacentral:lncRNA from 1 species